rnacentral:rRNA from 1 species
UACACACCGCCCGUCACACCACGAAAGUCGGUUGUUCCAGAAGUCGCUGUUGCAACCCGCAAGGGAGCUAGGCGCCGAAGGAAUGGCUGGUAAUUGGGGUG